UAAAAGUAAGCACUAAAAAAAUUGGUUUUAAUUAAUAGUAGCGGUAGUGAAGUAAUAGUAUAUAGUUUUGAGCGCUGCCUAGUAGCUACCAGGGGUAGUCGACUAUGAGAGGAAACUGAGAGGGGUUAAUAAAAAGGAAGAAGCAGACAUAUUAAAUCUAUGUACUUAUUGUAUCGUGGUUUAUAGAGUUAGUAAAAUUAUUUUAUUUCCCGAAAAUUUUAGAGCUAUUUAGGUUAAAGUUUGAUUGGUAAAAUAAUUAAAGUAAUUCCUAAAUAGAGGUGACAUGUUAGUCGAAAAAGUUGAUAGCUGGUUAAAGGGGAAAUGUACAUAAGUACAGCGCUAAAAAAAUCAAGGCCGCUAAAAAGAUUAAGGCCUGCUAGUGGUUAAAUUUCCAGAGCAGGUAAUUAGUAGUGACAUUUUUGGGGAUAAGCUCAGAGAUGAUGAAGUUUUUAUUAUUUGGGUGGGCUUAAAAGUGGCUAGCUGAAUUAGUUUUUUACAAAUAAAAUUAACAGAAAAUAUUUGAUAGAGUACCUUUUCAUUUUAAUAACUUUUAAGUAGAUUAGUAUAAAAUGAGUAAAUAACUAAUUAUCAUUAAGCUUAAUUAUUAAAACAUCACAUUGGUUUAUCAAGAAAUUUAUAGCGAAGGAACUCGGCUUAUAGACGGCCCGCCUGUUUAAUAAAAACAUCUCUUUUAGUAAUACUUGCAUUAAAAGUAGGGCCUGCCCAGUGCUUUAUUAAUUGAAAGUAAACGGCGGCGUUGGCUUUAAAGUAGCAUAAUAAAUCGGCUCUUAAUUGGAGUCUGGAAGGAAUGGUUUGACGUGGUUGUAACUGUCUCCGCUAUAAUAAUUUAAAUUUUCUUCUGGGUGAAAAGACUUAGUUGAAGGUAAAAGACGAGAAGACCCCGAUGAGCUUAGUAGAUUAUUAAAAUUUCAUAAUUUAGUGGUUAUUUUUAAUUGGGGCAAUUGGGGAGUAAAACUAACCUCCCUUUUAAUAACGGAGAUCCUUUAAAGAAAGAUAAAAGGAGAAAGUUACCACGGGGAUAACAGCGUGAUUUCCACUUAGAGGCCUUAUUAAAGUGGGGGUUGACGACCUCGAUGUUGGAUUAAGGUGCCUCCGCGGUGCAGGAGCUGCGGUAGUAAGUCUGUUCGACUUUCGAAACCUUACAUGAUCUGAGUUUAGACCGGCGUGAGCUAGGUCGGAUUCUAUCUUUAUUAUAAGGGUCCUAUGUACGAAAGGACCAGGAUCAUUAAAAUAUUUAAAUUAUU
rnacentral:rRNA from 1 species